AACGAACGCUGGCGGCAUGCCUAACACAUGCAAGUCGAACGAGACCUUCGGGUCUAGUGGCGCACGGGUGCGUAACGCGUGGGAAUCUACCCUCAGGUUCGGAAUAACUCAGAGAAAUUUGAGCUAAUACCGGAUGAUGACGUAAGUCCAAAGAUUUAUCGCCUGAGGAUGAGCCCGCGUAGGAUUAGGUAGUUGGUGAGGUAAAGGCUCACCAAGCCGACGAUCCUUAGCUGGUCUGAGAGGAUGAUCAGCCACACUGGGACUGAGACACGGCCCAGACUCCUACGGGAGGCAGCAGUGGGGAAUAUUGGACAAUGGGCGAAAGCCUGAUCCAGCAAUGCCGCGUGAGUGAUGAAGGCCUUAGGGUUGUAAAGCUCUUUUACCCGGGAUGAUAAUGACAGUACCGGGAGAAUAAGCACCGGCUAACUCCGUG
rnacentral:rRNA from 1 species